AAAGUCUUGGUCCUGAACUUACCGUUAUUUUUUAUUGAGAUUAUACAUGCAAGCCUCCACGCACCCGUGAAAAUGCCCACAACCCCCCUAACAGAGAAGAUGGAGCAGGCAUCAGGCACAACACCACCCAGCCCAUAACGCCUUGCCACGCCACACCCACACGGGCCAACCAGCAGUAAUAAACAUUGGGCAAUAAGUGUAAACUUGACCCAGCUACAAUUUAAUCUAAUACGGGCCGGUAAAUUUCGUGCCAGCCACCGCGGUUAUACGAAAGGCCAAAAAUAACGGCCAAACGGCGUAAAAUGUGACUAGAGAACUAUUAAUAUUUAAAAAUUUCUAACCCACUGCACAAUAGUAAAAUAUUAAACCGGUGGGGAAGCCCAACCAAAAAUUUUUAAUAUUACUCCCUUGACCACACGAAAGCUUAGAAACAAACUAGGAUUAGAUACCCUACUAUGCUAAGCCGUAAACAUUGAGAGUUAUCUAUACAAUACUUUCCGCCAGAGAACUACAAGUGAAAAACUUGAAACUCAAAGGACUUGGCGGUGUCCCACAUUCGACCUAGAGGAGCCUGUCCUAUAAUCGAUACUCCUCGUUCUACCUCACCAACACUAGCACCCACCAGCCUAUAUACCGCCGUCGACAGCUUACCCCAUGAGGGCAACACAGUAAGCACAAUAGCCCCCCCCGCUAAUACGUCAGGUCAAGGUGUAGCCAAUGUGUUGGCAGAGAUUGGCUACAUUUUUUAAGAUAAAAAAUACGGAAUACUGCAUGAAAAACAGCAUGAAGGCGAAUUUAGUAGUAAAAUAGACAAGAGAGUCUAUUUUAACAACGCUCUGGGACGCGUACACACCGCCCGUCACCCUCCUCGACAACAAUUAAACUAUUCAUAAAACAGCACCACAAUAAUUAGAUGAGGUAAGUCGUAACAUGGUAAGCGUACCGGAAGGUGUGCUUGGUCUUAC
rnacentral:ncRNA from 1 species